CGCAGAGCUAAGGAACACAGUUACUGUCUUGGCUGCGUAAUUCGCCCUUAUUCACUGUUCAUCUGACAUCUCAUAGUUCCUGAGUUGUUUGCAGGACAGCACCUCCUUUUUCCUCAGCCCCUUUCCAUGCAUGUCCAAAUGUCCCUGCCCUUCUCUUCCUCAAGUGGAUUUUUCUAAACCCGGGGUUUUCUCCCCCGCCUACUUCUGGACACUGAAGCCUGUCAGGUUCCUCCCAGAAUAAAUGUGUCGAGAUAGAUGGAGUCAAGGAGACCUGCAAUCGUGUACGGGGAGCCCGGGGGUGAGCUGCGAGGAUGCGUGCCAUUCAUGUGCCAGGCUGACGGGUGCAGCCCUGGGCUCUCUUUGACUACCGGUUCCCCAACCCCCGUCGAGCCUAGUUUAAAGCUCUUGGGAGGAGAUCAGCCAAGCUGCGGGCGAACAGAUACUUACCUCUGGGGGAGAGAUGAAGAUCAUCAUCUCCCAGGAAGCCUCCUCCCUGCAAGUGCUGGUCAUGGCUGUAGAAUCCGAAGCUCUCCUGAAGACACCGACUCUGGAGCCGCCGGUUGACUUCUUUGAUGCAGGCACCCUGGCGUCUCCGGCUGCUGCCGACCGGAAGGAUGGAAGAAAAUACAACCUGUGCUCCAGUCUUCUUGAGGCUGUCUCCCAGUUCAUGGAAGUCCUUCAUGAUGCAGUCAGGGCUGGUCCUAGCCGCAUCGUUGGUUCCUACUUAUCCCAGAUCACCUGUUCCCUCUUAUCUGGGGUGACCUGUUUCUGUGCCUGGGCCACCCGUCAAAGUUCCUCCAAGCUGGGGUUUGAACUCCUGCCCAGCUAGGCAAUCAGCAGGGAGUUCAAGUGCUUCCCUAAGGGGUGACCCUUCCUCUACUGGGAUGUUCUCUAAUUCCUCCCUGAGAGCCUCGGCUUCCUCUGCCACUGACUGACUGGGCUCCUCCCUGGGGCUGUCACUUAGCUUGACCCCAGGGUCAUUGGUUCCCUCAGCAGCCAGCUGGUUGCUGCAGUCGGGGGGUCUCUUCCUUAUCCCCCUCUUGCCUCCACAGCCACCUAGGUUACUUGGCUCUGGGCGGUUUCCCUACCUUCCCUCCUCACCUUCUUGCUCUGCCAACGAGUCACUACAUCAAUGCGGAUGGGAUCUAGGAUGUUUCCCCACGCUGCUCACUCAUGCUCCAGCUCUGUAAUAUCCCUCCCCACCAGCAUGGGGGCAGGAGCAUUUUCCAUUGCUUCUAUCUCCACUUCCAGUCCCUCCACCAGAUGGGGAGACGUGCUACCUGUACUUUGGAUGGCAUGGCAUUAAAAAAAACAGUUAAAAUAAAACAAAAUCAAAAUGUG